UGCCGCGUGAGUGAAGAAGGCCUUCGGGUUGUAAAGCUCUUUCGGCCGGGAAGAAAUCGCAUGGGUUAAUACCCUGUGCGGAUGACGGUACCGGCAUAAGAAGCACCGGCUAACUACGUGCCAGCAGCCGCGGUAAUACGUAGGGUGCGAGCGUUAAUCGGAAUUACUGGGCGUAAAGCGUGCGCAGGCGGUUUUGUAAGACAGGCGUGAAAUCCCCGGGCUCAACCUGGGAACUGCGCUUGUGACUGCAAGGCUAGAGUAUGGCAGAGGGGGGUGGAAUUCCACGUGUAGCAGUGAAAUGCGUAGAGAUGUGGAGGAACACCAAUGGCGAAGGCAGCUCCCUGGGCCAAUACUGACGCUCAUGCACGAAAGCGUGGGUAGCAAACAGGAUUAGAUACCCUGGUAGUCCACGCCCUAAACGAUGUCAACUAGGUGUUGGGGGGGUUAAACCAUUUAGUACCGGAGCUAACGCGUGAAGUUGACCGCCUGGGGAGUACGGCCGCAAGGUUAAAACUCAAAGGAAUUGACGGGGACCCGCACAAGCGGUGGAUGAUGUGGAUUAAUUCGAUGCAACGCGAAAAACCUUACCUACCCUUGACAUGUCCAGAAGCCUGAAGAGAUUUGGGUGUGCUCGAAAGAGAACUGGAACACAGGUGCUGCAUGGCUGUCGUCAGCUCGUGUCGUGAGAUGUUGGGUUAAGUCCCGCAACGAGCGCAACCCUUGUCAUUAGUUGCCAUCAUUUAGUUGGGCACUCUAAUGAGACUGCCGGUGACAAACCGGAGGAAGGUGGGGAUGACGUCAAGUCCUCAUGGCC
rnacentral:rRNA from 1 species